rnacentral:rRNA from 1 species
UACGAAGGGGGCUAGCGUUGUUCGGAAUUAAUGGGCGUAAAGGGCGCGUAGGCGGUUUUGUAAGUCAGGUGUGAAAGCCCCUGGCUCAACCCGGGAAUAGCAUUUGAUACUUCGUGGCUUGAGUCCGGGAGAGGAUGGCGGAAGUCCCAGUGUAGAGGUGAAAUUCGUAGAUAUUGGGAAGAACACCGGUGGCGAAGGCGGGCAUCUGGAACGGUACUGACGCUGAGGCGCGAAAGCGUGGGGAGCAAACAGG